GGGAGAGAGACAUGACGAGGGGCAAGCAGAAGAUCGAGGCGCAGCGGAGGAACGCGGAGCGGAACCAGAAGCCCAAAGGCUCGCAGCUUGAGGCGAGGGCCAUCGGCCUCAAGAUCAGCUGCCCCAUCUGCAAGGUUCAUUGUACCGCGGCGUACCACCUGAUAUGGUUGGUACAUACCAGUCCGAUAAGAAAUCGGUAUGGAUGGUACAUACCAGUUUGACAGUAUACUCUACCAUACCAUGUGUCGAUACAUCAGUACAGUUUGGUUCAUAUUGUAUCGAGAGUCGAUCGAUACACCGGUACAGACCAGUAAGGUGCAACUUGCGAAUCAUAAUCAGCUCAUGGAUCAUUAUGCCUCGAAGCAUCCCAAGGAGAAGCCUCCCAGUGAAUCCGGGUGAUACAUCUACUUGAACAUUUACGGGGACCUCUUUUUAUCUGAAAGACUGAGAAUGUAUCUACUAUCUUCCACCUGAAUGUGUAACUUGAAUUUGAACCUCUCCCUCUGUGCAUCUUUUUCUCUUGAACAUCUCCAAUGAAUUGGCAUCGUGUUGAUA